rnacentral:rRNA from 1 species
CCUACGGGUGGCUGCAGUGGGGAAUAUUGGACAAUGGGCGAAAGCCUGAUCCAGCCAUGCCGCGUGUGUGAAGAAGGCCUUCGGGUUGUAAAGCACUUUCAGUGGGGAAGAAAGCCUUGGGGCUAAUACCCUCGAGGAAGACAUCACCCACAGAAGAAGCACCGGCUAACUCCGUGCCAGCAGCCGCGGUAAUACGGAGGGUGCGAGCGUUAAUCGGAAUUACUGGGCGUAAAGCGCGCGUAGGCGGUCUGAUAAGCCGGUUGUGAAAGCCCCGGGCUCAACCUGGGAACGGCAUCCGGAACUGUCAGGCUAGAGUGCAGGAGAGGAAGGUAGAAUUCCCGGUGUAGCGGUGAAAUGCGUAGAGAUCGGGAGGAAUACCAGUGGCGAAGGCGGCCUUCUGGACUGACACUGACGCUGAGGUGCGAAAGCGUGGGUAGCAAACAGGAUUAGAUACCCUGGUAGUC